rnacentral:rRNA from 1 species
UGAAGUCGAACGAGAAGCCCGUAGCAAUACGGGUUGUAAAGUGGCGCACGGGUGAGUAACACGUGGGUAACCUGCCCUCGAGAUCGGGAUAACCCCGCGAAAGCGGGGCUAAUACCUAAUAAGACCACGGGGACCAACGUCCCUGAGGUAAAAGGAUGGCCUCUAUUUAUAAGCUAUCGCUUGAGGAUGGGCCCGCGGCCCAUUAGCUAGUUGGUAGGGUAACGGCCUACCAAGGCUAUGAUGGGUAGCUGGUCUGAGAGGACGAUCAGCCACACUGGAACUGAGACACGGUCCAGACUCCUACGGGAGGCAGCAGUGGGGAAUAUUGCGCAAUGGGCGAAAGCCUGACGCAGCGACGCCGCGUGGGGGAUGAAGGUUCUCGGAUUGUAAACCCCUUUCGACCGGAACGAAUCCCCUCCUGGUGAACAAUCAGGAGGAUCGACGGUACCGGGAGAAGAAGCCACGGCUAACUCUGUGCCAGCAGCCGCGGUAAGACAGAGGUGGCGAGCGUUGUUCGGAUUUAUUGGGCGUAAAGCGCACGCAGGCGGUUUGGUAAGUCAGGGGUGAAAGCCCACAGCUUAACUGUGGGACUGCCUUUGAUACUGCCUUUCUCGAGUGCAUGAGGGGGAAGCGGAAUUCCGAGUGUAGAGGUGAAAUUCGUAGAUAUUCGGAGGAACACCGGUGGCGAAGGCGGCUUCCUGGCAUGUAACUGACGCUCAGGUGCGAAAGCGUGGGUAGCAAACAGGAUUAGAUACCCUGGUAGUCCACGCCCUAAACGAUGGGCACUAGUGUGGGAGUAUCGACCCCUUCCGUGCCGCAGCUAACGCAUUAAGUGCCCCGCCUGGGGAGUACGGCGCAAGGUGAAACUCAAAGGAAUUGACGGGGA